GACGAACGCUGGCGGCGUGCUUAACACAUGCAAGUCGAACGGAAAGGCCCUGCUUUUGUGGGGUGCUCGAGUGGCGAACGGGUGAGUAACACGUGAGUAACCUGCCCUUGACUUUGGGAUAACUUCAGGAAACUGGGGCUAAUACCGGAUAGGAGCUCCUGCUGCAUGGUGGGGGUUGGAAAGUUUCGGCGGUUGGGGAUGUGCUCGCGGCUUAUCAGCUUGUUGGUGGGGUAGUGGCUUACCAAGGCUUUGACGGGUAGCCGGCCUGAGAGGGUGACCGGCCACAUUGGGACUGAGAUACGGCCCAGACUCCUACGGGAGGCAGCAGUGGGGAAUAUUGCACAAUGGGCGGAAGCCUGAUGCAGCAACGCCGCGUGCGGGAUGACGGCCUUCGGGUUGUAACCCGCUUUCGCCUGUGACGAAGCGUGAGUGACGGUAAUGGGUAAAGAAGCACCGGCUAACUACGUG
rnacentral:rRNA from 1 species